rnacentral:rRNA from 1 species
UGGGGAAUAUUGCACAAUGGGCGAAAGCCUGAUGCAGCAACGCCGCGUGAGUGAUGAAGGUCUUCGGAUUGUAAAGCUCUGUCUUUUGGGACGAUAAUGACGGUACCAAAGGAGGAAGCCACGGCUAACUACGUGCCAGCAGCCGCGGUAAUACGUAGGUGGCGAGCGUUGUCCGGAUUUACUGGGCGUAAAGGGUGCGUAGGCGGAUGUUUAAGUGAGAUGUGAAAUAC